UACGUAGGGGGCAAGCGUUGUCCGGAAUCAUUGGGCGUAAAGGGCUCGUAGGCGGUUUGUCACGUCGGGAGUGAAAACUCAGGGCUCAACCCUGAGCGUGCUUCCGAUACGGGCAGACUAGAGGUAUGCAGGGGAGAACGGAAUUCCUGGUGUAGCGGUGGAAUGCGCAGAUAUCAGGAGGAACACCGGUGGCGAAGGCGGUUCUCUGGGCAUUACCUGACGCUGAGGAGCGAAAGCAUGGGGAGCGAACAGG
rnacentral:rRNA from 1 species